GCCUGAGUGGCUCAGUCAGUUGAGUGUCUGACUUCAGCUCAGGUCACGUGUUCAUGGGUUCGAGCCCUGCGUCAGGCC
rnacentral:tRNA from 1 species